AUUGAUCGCUGGCGGCGUGCCUAACACAUGCAAGUCGAGCGGUAACAGGUGUAGCAAUACAUGCUGACGAGCGGCGAACGGGUGAGUAAUGCUUCGGAAUCUACCUUAUGGUGGGGAAUAACUAGCCGAAAGGUUAGCUAAUACCGCAUACGUCCUACGGGAGAAAGCAGGGGAUCGCAAGACCUUGCGCCAAAAGAUGAGCCGAAGUCGGAUUAGCUAGUUGGUAGGGUAACGGCCUACCAAGGCGACGAUCCGUAGCUGGUCUGAGAGGACGACCAGCCACACGGGGACGUAGACACGGCCCAGACUCCUACGGGAGGCAGCAGUGGGGAAUAUUGGACAAUGGGGGAAACCCUGAUCCAGCGACGCCGCGUGUGUGAAGAAGGCCUGCGGGUUGUAAAGCACUUUUAGUGGGGAUGAAAUGUGCAGGGUUAAUACCUCUGCAUUUUGACCUAACCCACAGAAAAAGCACCGGCUAACUCUGUGCCAGCCGCCGCGGUAA
rnacentral:rRNA from 1 species